rnacentral:rRNA from 1 species
GGGACACGUGGUAUCCUGUCUGAAUAUGGGGGGACCAUCCUCCAAGGCUAAAUACUCCUGACUGACCGAUAGUGAACCAGUACCGUGAGGGAAAGGCGAAAAGAACCCCGGCGAGGGGAGUGAAAAAGAACCUGAAACCGUGUACGUACAAGCAGUGGGAGCACCUUCGGGUGUGACUGCGUACCUUUUGUAUAAUGGGUCAGCGACUUAUAUUCUGUAGCAAGGUUAACCGUAUAGGGGAGCCGCAGGGAAACCGAGUCUUAACUGGGCGUUAAGUUGCAGGGUAUAGACCCGAAACCCGGUGAUCUAGCCAUGGGCAGGUUGAAGGUUGGGUAACACUAACUGGAGGACCGAACCGACUAAUGUUGAAAAAUUAGCGGAUGACUUGUGGCUGGGGGUGAAAGGCCAAUCAAACCGGGAGAUAGCUGGUUCUCCCCGAAAGCUAUUUAGGUAGCGCCUCGUGAACUCAUCUUCGGGGGUAGAGCACUGUUUCGGCUAGGGGGUCAUCCCGACUUACCAACCCGAUGCAAACUACGAAUACCGAAGAAUGUUAUCACGGGAGACACACGGCGGGUGCUAACGUCCGUCGUGAAGAGGGAAACAACCCAGACCGCCAGCUAAGGUCCCAAAGUCAUGGUUAAGUGGGAAACGAUGUGGGAAGGCACAGACAGCCAGGAUGUUGGCUUAGAAGCAGCCAUCAUUUAAAGAAAGCGUAAUAGCUCACUGGUCGAGUCGGCCUGCGCGGAAGAUGUAACGGGGCUAAACCAUGCACCGAAGCUGCGGCAGCGACACUAUGUGUUGUUGGGUAGGGGAGCGUUCUGUAAGCCUGCGAAGGUGUGCUGUGAGGCAUGCUGGAGGUAUCAGAAGUGCGAAUGCUGACAUAAGUAACGAUAAAGCGGGUGAAAAGCCCGCUCGCCGGAAGACCAAGGGUUCCUGUCCAACGU